GACAAUAAUUAGGUUCCAGUAGGUUCAAAGUAGGUUGUAGGUUGUCAUUCAUGUGGUCAUUGUAAUUAGAAUAACCAUCACAGGUCAAAUCAGGACCACUAACAUGUUGUGAUUCAUGUUUUCUAAUCUUUUCAAGAUCCACAUCCCUCUUCAAGACCUCGUUCCAGAAGUGAUGAAAGCAGUUCCACUUUUGUACCAACAAUGAAGACAUGCUAAUUGUUUUUAUGGAUUCCAUCUUUAAUUGUAUGGCCUACUUAAGAAAAUGUCUUUACUUUUGAUGUUAAGAGCACUUGCAGGUGUAAUGUAUAGAAAUUGGGGCCGAUAUUAAACAUUUUAAUAAAAAUGAAUGAAAAAUAAUAAAGAAGAAACAGGAUCUGUG